rnacentral:rRNA from 1 species
CCUGAUGCAGCGACGCCGCGUGAGGGAUGACGGCCUUCGGGUUGUAAACCUCUUUCAGUAGGGAAGAAGCGAAAGUGACGGUACCUGCAGAAGAAGCGCCGGCUAACUACGUGCCAGCAGCCGCGGUAAUACGUAGGGCGCAAGCGUUAUCCGGAAUUAUUGGGCGUAAAGAGCUCGUAGGCGGUUUGUCGCGUCUGCCGUGAAAGUCCGGGGCUCAACUCCGGAUCUGCGGUGGGUACGGGCAGACUAGAGUGAUGUAGGGGAGACUGGAAUUCCUGGUGUAGCGGUGAAAUGCGCAGAUAUCAGGAGGAACACCGAUGGCGAAGGCAGGUCUCUGGGCAUUAACUGACGCUGAGGAGCGAAAGCAUGGGGAGCGAACAGGAUUAGAUACCCUGGUAGUCCAUGCCGUAAACGUUGGGCACUAGGUGUGGGGGACAUUCCACGUUUUCCGCGCCGUAGCUAACGCAUUAAGUGCCCCGCCUGGGGAGUACGGCCGCAAGGCUAAAACUCAAAGGAAUUGACGGGGGCCCGCACAAGCGGCGGAGCAUGCGGAUUAAUUCGAUGCAACGCGAAGAACCUUACCAAGGCUUGACAUGAACCGGAAAGACCUGGAAACAGGUCCCCCGCUUGCGGUC